CCUACGGGGGCAGCAGUGGGGAAUAUUGGACAAUGGGCGCAAGCCUGAUCCAGCCAUGCCGCGUGAGUGAUGAAGGCCCUAGGGUUGUAAAGCUCUUUCACCGGUGAAGAUAAUGACGGUAACCGGAGAAGAAGCCCCGGCUAACUUCGUGCCAGCAGCCGCGGUAAU
rnacentral:rRNA from 1 species